rnacentral:rRNA from 1 species
UACGAAGGGGGCUAGCGUUGUUCGGAAUUACUGGGCGUAAAGCGCGUGUAGGCGGCCUUGCAAGUCGGAUGUGAAAGCCCACGGCUCAACCGUGGAAGUGCAUCCGAAACUGCAUAGCUUGAGUCUCGGAGAGGAAGGUGGAAUGCUUGGUGUAGAGGUGAAAUUCGUAGAUAUCAAGCAGAACACCUGCGGCGAAGGCGGCCUUCUGGACGAUGACUGACGCUGAGACGCGAAAGCGUGGGGAGCAAACAGG